GGGACACGUGGUAUCCUGUCUGAAUAUGGGGGGACCAUCCUCCAAGGCUAAAUACUCCUGACUGACCGAUAGUGAACCAGUACCGUGAGGGAAAGGCGAAAAGAACCCCGGCGAGGGGAGUGAAAAAGAACCUGAAACCGUGUACGUACAAGCAGUGGGAGCACGCUUAGGCGUGUGACUGCGUACCUUUUGUAUAAUGGGUCAGCGACUUAUAUUCUGUAGCAAGGUUAACCGAAUAGGGGAGCCGAAGGGAAACCGAGUCUUAACUGGGCGUUAAGUUGCAGGGUAUAGACCCGAAACCCGGUGAUCUAGCCAUGGGCAGGUUGAAGGUUGGGUAACACUAACUGGAGGACCGAACCGACUAAUGUUGAAAAAUUAGCGGAUGACUUGUGGCUGGGGGUGAAAGGCCAAUCAAACCGGGAGAUAGCUGGUUCUCCCCGAAAGCUAUUUAGGUAGCGCCUCGUGAAUUCAUCUCCGGGGGUAGAGCACUGUUUCGGCAAGGGGGUCAUCCCGACUUACCAACCCGAUGCAAACUGCGAAUACCGGAGAAUGUUAUCACGGGAGACACACGGCGGGUGCUAACGUCCGUCGUGAAGAGGGAAACAACCCAGACCGCCAGCUAAGGUCCCAAAGUCAUGGUUAAGUGGGAAACGAUGUGGGAAGGCCCAGACAGCCAGGAUGUUGGCUUAGAAGCAGCCAUCAUUUAAAGAAAGCGUAAUAGCUCACUGGUCGAGUCGGCCUGCGCGGAAGAUGUAACGGGGCUAAACCAUGCACCGAAGCUGCGGCAGCGACACUAUGUGUUGUUGGGUAGGGGAGCGUUCUGUAAGCCUGUGAAGGUGUGCUGUGAGGCAUGCUGGAGGUAUCAGAAGUGCGAAUGCUGACAUAAGUAACGAUAAAGCGGGUGAAAAGCCCGCUCGCCGGAAGACCAAGGGUUCCUGUCCAACGUUAAUCGGGGCAGGGUGAGUCGACCCCUAAGGCGAGGCCGAAAGGCGUAGUCGAUGGGAAACAGGUUAAUAUUCCUGUACUUGGUGUUACUGCGAAGGGGGGACGGAGAAGGCUAUGUUGGCCGGGCGACGGUUGUCCCGGUUUAAGCGUGUAGGCUGGUUUUCCAGGCAAAUCCGGAAAAUCAAGGCUGAGGCGUGAUGACGAGGCACUACGGUGCUGAAGCAACAAAUGCCCUGCUUCCAGGAAAAGCCUCUAAGCAUCAGGUAACAUCAAAUCGUACCCCAAACCGACACAGGUGGUCAGGUAGAGAAUACCAAGGCGCUUGAGAGAACUCGGGUGAAGGAACUAGGCAAAAUGGUGCCGUAACUUCGGGAGAAGGCACGCUGAUAUGUAGGUGAAGUCCCUCGCGGAUGGAGCUGAAAUCAGUCGAAGAUACCAGCUGGCUGCA
rnacentral:rRNA from 1 species